GACGAACGCUGGCGGCGUGCCUAACACAUGCAAGUCGAACGGAACUGUUUUGAAAGAUUUCUUCGGAAUGAAUUUGAUUUAGUUUAGUGGCGGACGGGUGAGUAACGCGUGAGUAACCUGCCUUCAAGAGGGGGAUAACAUUCUGAAAAGAAUGCUAAUACCGCAUGACAUAUCGGAACCACAUGGUUUUGAUAUCAAAGAUUUUAUCGCUUGAAGAUGGACUCGCGUCCGAUUAGUUAGUUGGUGAGGUAACGGCUCACCAAGACCGCGAUCGGUAGCCGGACUGAGAGGUUGAACGGCCACAUUGGGACUGAGACACGGCCCAGACUCCUACGGGAGGCAGCAGUGGGGGAUAUUGCGCAAUGGGGGCAACCCUGACGCAGCAACGCCGCGUGAAGGAUGAAGGUUUUCGGAUUGUAAACUUCUUUUAUUAAGGACGAAAAAUGACGGUACUUAAUGAAUAAGCUCCGG
rnacentral:rRNA from 1 species